rnacentral:rRNA from 1 species
UGCCGCGUGAGUGAUGAAGGCCUUUGGGUUGUAAAGCUCUUUCGUCUGUGAAGAUAAUGACUGUACCCGAAUAAGAAGGUCCGGCUAACUUCGUGCCAGCAGCCGCGGUAAU